rnacentral:rRNA from 1 species
UGGGGAAUAUUGGACAAUGGGCGCAAGCCUGAUCCAGCCAUGCCGCGUGAGUGACGAAGGCCUUAGGGUUGUAAAGCUCUUUUGUCGGGGACGAUAAUGACGGUACCCGAAGAAUAAGCUCCGGCUAACUUCGUGCCAGCAGCCGCGGUAAUACGAAGGGAGCUAGCGUUGUUCGGAAUCACUGGGCGUAAAGCGCACGUAGGCGGAUUUGUAAGUCAGGGGUGAAAUCCCGGGGCUCAACCUCGGAACUGCCUCUGAUACUGCGAAUCUCGAGUCCGGAAGAGGUGGGUGGAAUUCCUAGUGUAGAGGUGAAAUUCGUAGAUAUUAGGAAGAACACCGGUGGCGAAGGCGGCCCACUGGUCCGGUACUGACGCUGAGGUGCGAAAGCGUGGGGAGCAAACAGGAUUAGAUACCCCAGUAGUCCCUGAGCGGGCUGGCAAGGCGCAU